ACACAUAUUGUUGGAGAUGCAGCAUAUCCACUGCAAAGUUGGGUUUUAACACCGUAUAAAGAUACGGGGAAUCUGGCAGAGUGUCAGAAAAGAUAUAACUUCAUACAUGCCAACACUCGUCAAACGAUUGAAAGAGCCUUUGGUUUGUUGAAAGGAAAAUGGAGGAGGCUGAGAUUCCUGGAAAUGACCAAACUUGAAGAUGUCCCAAGUGUUAUAACAGCAGCCUGUACACUUCACAAUAUGUGCAUAGAGAACAAUGAGAAUGACCUGGACAUGUGCAGUGAUGCCAGUAUCUUUCCUGAUGCUCCAGCUGUGAGUGAGCCUUUGAACCAGAGUGGAUCAGUAAAACGGAAUGCCCUAGCCCAGUAUUUCUGGUCUACCAACCGAUAUUAAAUUCAACGAAAUAAAGAAAACAAUGCUAAAUUUACAAA